rnacentral:rRNA from 1 species
AAGGGAGAGGAACACGUGGAUACGUACCCUUGGGUUCAGGAUAGCCAUGGGAAACUAUGGGUAAUACUGAAUAACAUCUCCGGAUCAAAGGUGAGAUUCCGCCCAGGGAGCGGUCCGCGUCCUAUUAGCUAGUUGGUGGGGUAACGGCCUACCAAGGCGAAGAUGGGUACGAGAUGUGAGAGCAUGAUCUCGCUCAUUGGGACUGAGACACUGCCCAGACACCUACGGGUGGCUGCAGUCGAGAAUCUUCGGCAAUGGGGGAAACCCUGACCGAGCGACGCCGCGUGUGAGAUGAAGGCCUUCGGGUUGUAAAUCACUGUCGUAGGGGAGGAAGUGCUGGUGGGUUCUCCCAUCAGUUUGACCUAUCCUAGGAGGAAGGACGGGCUAAGUUCGUGCCAGCAGCCGCGGUAAGACGGACCGUCCAAACGUUAUUCGGAAUCACUGGGCUUAAAGGGUGCGUAGGCGGCCUGGAAAGUUGGGUGUGAAAUACCUCGGCUCAACCGAGGAACUGCGCUCAAAACUGCCGGGCUUGAGGGAGAUAUAGGUGAGCGGAACUUAGGGU